CUGGGCUAAACCAAUCGAUUCCACAAUCGAUUCUUUAAACAAACAAAGAACAAACUCGAAAUCGAUUAAUCAAUCGAUUUAAACAAAAAAAACUUCUGAUUAACUGCCAUUGACUCUUUUCCUCUGUCAUCAAUACAACUUGGUUGACCAAUCUUUCUUCAUUUAAUCUUCAUUUAAUGUUAAAGACAAGAUUCUCAUACUUGUCUCAUUUCACGUGUCUUGAGCAUCCACUUUCAAAUAUCAAUCUUGCUUGGUGGAUGUCAAGUACACCUGCAAAAAAAUAAUUAAUUUUUGGAUCUAGGUACCCAAUUCAGAUUGGGUCCUGGGGGGUCAGUCUUAAACACAGAUUCUUUUGCUAUCCAAACUUGCUUCCAUCCUCUAUUGGCUAAUUUUUUAAAUUUGCAAUUUGACACAAAAUGUCCCUUUCUGCAACAGAAAUGACAUCUGCCAUCAAAGGAUGAAUGUUUAUUUGGUUUAGUAAAGAUGUCAUACAUACUCUUAGCAAUAGAAGAUUUUUGACCAUGUUUGACA
rnacentral:lncRNA from 1 species